rnacentral:tRNA from 1 species
CGCCGCGAUGGUGCACACGUUCGGCAACCCGACGCUCCUGCCGGUCGUGGUGGCGGGGUUCCUGUUCGUCCUGCUGGUGCUGCACCGUCCGGGGCGC